GGGGUUUGUGUCAGCAUCAACUGGGUAGGUUCUCUUUCUAUUCGUUUUUCACAUUUCCUUGGUAGUGAGAGGUAUGGGGGGCAGGGUGUGGUUGGCUGUCUGUGAUUGGCUGCGGUGGGGUUUGUUUGCAUUUGUGAUGGAGGGAGAGGCCUUGUUGGGUCUGGUAAGCCAGAUUGAAUCGUAUGCUGCCGGUGGAUUCUUGUUGUUGUCUUGUUGGGCUGUGUAUGUGAUAAAGGGGAGCCAUACUGGGGUGAAGGCGUCCUCUUCUAUUUGUCCCCAUGUCAGUUUCAGUUCAUUGGUUAGCUUUUCUAGUAAGGCCGUUUCCUGUACAAUUUGAUACCAUUGGUCCAUGUUUACUCCUGACAGGUCUCUCCAGUGUCUAGUUAUGAGGCUUCUGGCUGCUGAGAGUAGGUGGGUUAUAACCUCUGUAUAAUGUGAGUGGUCAUUAUGAUAUUGGAAGAUGUUCAGUAAGGCCAGUUCUGGGGUGAGUUCUAAUACCUGUUUAGUUGUUUUGUGUAUCUCUUGUAGGACUGCUAUCCAGAAGGGUUGGACUUUAGGGUAUUCCCACCACAUGUGGAGGUAUGUGCCUGUGGAGGUGCAGCUUCUUCAACAUUGUGAGGUUCCUGGGCGUAUCAGCACCAGUGGUGUUACCUACCACCUGUAGGUGAGUUUCAGAGUGAAUUCCCUUCUUUUGGCCGAUAUGGACUUAAAGGGAGAUUUAGACCACAUUCUAGUCCAUUGAGUAGCGUUAAUUUCAAAUGCGGGUCAACACCAGCAUUUGAAUUGGGCCUGGAAACUGACUGGCAGCCAGCGCAGUCAGUCCAGGAUUGCUUUAUGAAGGAGCUAUCUUCACAAUGAUAUAAACUGUGCUGUUAAUACUAUGAAUUUAGAGUAGUUUAUACAUAGGGUGUCAAGUAGGGCUGGGAGAAAACUUUCUGUGUCUGAAAUUCUGAAGAAAAGCUGCCAGUCAGUGCAGAUAAUACUUAGCUAGAGGGACCAAUGGUCUGACUCAGGAUAAGGCAGCUUCCUAUGUCCCUACGCACUGCCCUUCCCCAGGCUGGCCACUGGGCCUUGUUAGACUGAAAGGGCAAUAAAGGACGUCCUGUCUGGGGUGGGACUGUGGGAGUUUAUCUGGGCUGCAAUGGUCUUCCUGGCAGUGGCAUGUUCUGGUGUGCUUGCCUGCUCAAAACUCUGUUGCAUAACUCAUGGCUCCCCUCUGACUGCAGCCUUCAGCUGAACCCUGAUGUACGGUUGCCAAAUUCAGUGCAAUGCAGGACAGGGCUCCUGUGUCUUUGAUAAUCACAUGGAAGGGAGCAUGGGCGUAGCCAGGAUUUUUGUUAGGGGAAGGCAGAACCUCAGUUAGCCAUGUAUUUUUAUUGAUUUAGGGGGGCAGUGGCCCCUCCUUGCCCCCCCUUUGGCUAUCCCCAUGGAAGGGAGUCUUUUUGCACAUGUAGCUUCUUCUCCUGUCAUAUUGCUUGUGCUCAUGGGAAAACUGCUCUUGCUCCAGUUCUUCCUUUUAUAUUAACAGUACAGAAGCCGCAUCAUGUACUGAUAAUCCAAGGUGAAGUGUCACUGUAGAUGUAUCCAAAAAUUCCCUGAACAUGUGUACACAUCCACAGCAAACAGAAAAUAUAUCAUAAAUCAUAAAUCAGAUCUUGCUGCCUUUUCCCACUGUCCAGCUCUUGCUUUCUGGCACUUAUUAAACACCAAGUUAGGAAACAAUUCUAUUCAAUGGGCUUGAACUUAUUUAGCGAUUUCAGUAAGAUGAUCCCACCACAUCCACUUCUUUGGAACCUGGUAGAUUUUUCUUGAUAGCUUCAAAACAACCAAACAAAGGAGAAAAGCCACUGACCUCAUACUUCCCCCCACCCUGUAUAGAAAAGAAAGACCACCAGGCUCCCAGGAGGGACGAUAGCCUUUUGACCUUAGUCAUAGUGGGUGGAAGCGGGUGGCUAAAAAUAAUUGUGAACAAGCUAGGCCUUUUCUAUUCUUUUAUGCCCUCAAAUGUACUGGGAUAGUUUCCAGGCUUGUGUGUUUGCAUCACAGAUUGGCUUCUGUUGUCUUGGACUGGGCUGGCACCAGUGAUGCUACAAGGUGCAUCCAGUCCCUUUGAUGCAUGUUCACUCUGUGCAGCUCCACAUCCAUCUGCCUUCAGAUGGGCCAAUGGAGCGAGUGCUGUCCACAUUCCAGGAAGAGCCACCCCAGUCCUGGGUUCCUCCACUGCCGCAACAUUCUUAGGCUUCUUUCCUUCUAGAUACCAAAGGAACACACACAAUGCCCAUGCAGACAAGCAAGAAACACAUCAUUUUGCAUUGCUGAGGAGGGCAAGAAAAAUACGGUGCAAUCAAUGCACUUCUCUGAGCAGCGGGGGCCAACCUGACCAACCCCUAGGUAUGCCCCUGUGGCAUUUACUGAGCAAUGUUGAUAUCUUCCAUUGGCAAAGAUAAGAGGUAAAGGUAUUUGUUUUUAACCUGCUGCUUGUCUGUUUCCUAUGGCUAAUAGUAAAAUUUUUAGAGUACUGCCUGCUUUUAAUCAACAAUUUGCUACAUGCCAAUAGAUUCCAAGGCCCGCUGCUGAAGGCACACUUAAUAUUAAUGCUGUUUGGGAGGCUUCUCAUAGGCAUCUGUGAGAAAAGAAUAUUGUACUAGAGGGCCCUUUGUUUUCAUUCAGGAGGCAUCUUCUUUUAUUCUUAAUUCUUUUCCUUCAUUAAGGCAUAAAAGCAGAGCUCACUGUGCUCAAUGGAUGUGGAGAUGACCUGUCAUGGCCCAGGAGUCAGCUUCACCUGCUGAAGGUGGAGAAGGCCCAGGAGUGACUCCCAUCUGCAGCUGAUCAGCUGGCAUAGACACAGAGGAGAAGCCAUUGAUGAGAACUAGCUGGUUUCAGCCUUCUUAAGCAGAGCUUCCAGCAGCAGCCAGAUGCUGGAAACAAGGCUUGUGCUUCCAGGCCCCACCUUGCUGCUUCCUGCUCUCCAUCUGGACCCUUGACUCUGUGAUCAUCUUGAUUCCCUGACCUCUGGACUAUCUGACUUUGUAUGUAGAUUCUGCUCUCAGGCAACGCUCCUUGGAGACUCCUAGCCACGGGACUCAGAUGGGCCUACAACAUGACCUACAGUUUAUCCUGAUUUAUUUGGGACCUCUGGUAAAUCUAGCGCUGCAGUGCUCUGUAAUGGGUGUGUCAGAUUAGUAGACUCAAGGCUUCUAGGAUGCUCAACUGAAAACAGGAAGUUCUUUGUUUCUGUAUUAAAAUGUCAUUCUACUUUUAUCUUGGUUCCUUAAAAAUGCUAUUUCAGUGAGGCCAAGCUAAGAUGAUAACAGCAGAAGUGGACUGUUUCCUGCUUAGCAUCAGUGGUGAAGACUGGGGACAUCUGAAAGACCCCAUUUCCUAAUGCUUCCAUUGGCUCUCUUGGCCAAUUCUGUUCUUGGUCAGUGUGAUGCACGCAACAGAGGUCUGCCCUUUAUUUGCCUUGCCAUUGUUGAACUCUCCUGGAAUGUUGACUUAACCCUGCCUGUUUGAUAACUGGAUGUUCCUGUGACUGAGGCCAUUGCAUCUCAGCAGGCCUUAUUCUAAGUAAUAAUUGAGUAAAUCAAAUGAAAACCAAACAUGGGCUUGAAAAUCAUACAUUCUUUUAGUACAGUAUAUGUGCUGCCGAAGCAAGCACAAUAACUAUACAUUCCUGAGGAUUUCUGGGACAAAGCAAAAAGGGACACCACAAGCUGUUUACAAUUGGCCAUGAGCUAUCAAGUAUGGAGGUAAUAAAUUCCCACUAUGGAUCUGGUAGAACGUGCUCUACUGCACUGGAAAGAGGUGUCUGUGGAAGAUUGCCGUAUUUGAACUUUGCAUUUCCCAUGACGUAGUUGUGCUGAUACACUACAUGUGAAACUAAUGUUGGGGUGUAAAAUAUAUAAUUACACCUUAGGCUGGUGCUGACAUUGACCAGGCUUUUUGAAAACAAGAGUCUGUUUGUUAAAGUAGGACAGAUGCUGGGCUCUUUUUAAUGAAUUGUACACUGUUGUUUUUAAACUUUUUGUUAUAUUUAUUACAUUAUUAAUGUAAUUUUAUAUAUUUGUAUGUUGUGAAUACAUCGAAACAGGGCCCUGUCCUGGCUCCUAAUCCAUGAUUGACUUCUGACUUCUGCUCUAUGAUUGAAACUGAAUCUCCAUUUGCAAGCUGAUAAAUUAUAAGGAUCAACAUUAUUGUUGAGUGAAAAAGAGAAAAUCUUUGUAAUGAAUUAUUGUGUUAUACGUAUCUUUAUGAGUUUGAGUUUGUAAUCUCUGUUAGAGUUUGUAAUCUCUACCUGAGUUUGUAUUUCUUGUCAGAAUACAUACUUUUGAACGG
rnacentral:lncRNA from 1 species